rnacentral:rRNA from 1 species
UACGGAGGGUGCGAGCGUUGUCCGGAAUCACUGGGCGUAAAGGGCGCGUAGGCGGCUCAUGAAGGCUGUGGUGAAAGUCCGGGGCUCAACCUCGGAUCGGCCGUGGCGACUCGUGGGCUGGAGCACUGUAGAGGCGGGUGGAAUUCCGGGUGUAGCGGUGGAAUGCGUAGAGAUCCGGAAGAACACCGGUGGCGAAGGCGGCCUGCUGGGCAGUGGCUGACGCUGAGGCGCGACAGCGUGGGGAGCAAACAGG